rnacentral:rRNA from 1 species
GACGUAGGAUGCGAGCGUUGUUCGGAUUUAUUGGGCGUAAAGCGUACGUAGGCGGCUUGUUAAGUCUGGUGUUAAAGCUAGGGGCUCAACCCCUGUGUUGCACUGGAAACUGGCAGGCUUGAGUGUGGUAGGGGAAGGUGGAAUUCCUGGUGUAGCGGUGAAAUGCGCAGAUAUCAGGAGGAACACCAGUGGCGAAGGCGGUGCUCUGGGCCGGAACUGACGCUGAGGAGCGAAAGCGUGGGGAGCAAACAGG